CUCACCUCCCACCACUGUGACUCAGGGUCGCCGCGCAGCAGCUCGAUUACAUCGCCCGUCUGGAAGGCAGCGUGAGUCCCCCACAUGCCCCUGUUCCUCUGACUAAUGUCCUGAGCAGAGAGCUCCUGCUGCACGGCGUGAGAACAGACGGGACAGGGCCACACACGUCACCCAAGCGUGCUGUACCCUCAGGCUGGGGCCCUGCUGCAUGCAGAAAACAAGAACCCAGUCAUCAGGAGGAGGAAAAGCUAACCUGCCGAGAUUAUUUUCUAAGAAAACACUUGAAACAGGCGAAACCCUGGCUCGGGCAUUUCUAGGUAUAGCUGUGGGUCAUCUGUUUCUUUAUUUCUCUCCUUUCCUUUCCCUUCCUCUCCUCCAGAAUUUUUUUUCCUUUUG